UACGUAGGGUGCAAGCGUUAAUCGGAAUUACUGGGCGUAAAGCGUGCGCAGGCGGUUUUGUAAGUCUGUUGUGAAAUCCCCGGGCUCAACCUGGGAAUGGCAAUGGAGACUGCAAGGCUAGAGUUUGGCAGAGGGGGGUAGAAUUCCACGUGUAGCAGUGAAAUGCGUAGAUAUGUGGAGGAACACCGAUGGCGAAGGCAGCCCCCCUGGGUCAAGACUGACGCUCAUGCACGAAAGCUGGGGAGCAAACAGG
rnacentral:rRNA from 1 species